UUGUUCCACCCAACAGAAGAU
rnacentral:miRNA from 1 species